rnacentral:tRNA from 1 species
GGGGAUGUAGCUCAGUGGUAGAGCGCAUGCUUUGCAUGUAUGAGGCCCUGGGUUCAUUCCCCAAUAUCUCCA